rnacentral:rRNA from 1 species
GGCUGCACCCGUUCCCAUUCCGAACACGGCCGUGAAAC